rnacentral:tRNA from 1 species
GCCGGGGUGUUGGAAUGGCAGACAAUGCGGACUUAAAAUCCGCCGCUCGUAAGAGCGUGAGGGUUCAACUCCCUCCCCCGGCA